rnacentral:rRNA from 1 species
UACGUAGGGUGCGAGCGUUGUCCGGAAUUAUUGGGCGUAAAGGGCUCGUAGGCGGUUUGUCGCGUCGGGAGUGAAAACGCCGGGCUUAACUCGGUGCUGCUUUCGAUACGGGCAGACUAGAGGCUGUCAGGGGGAGAACGGAAUUCCUGGUGUAGCGGUGGAAAUGCGCAGAUAUCAGGAAGAACACCCGGUGGCGAAGGCGGGUCUCU